UAAAGAUGCAAAAGUUGAUUCUUACAACCAAUGAUCAAGACAACAUAGCGAGUACCUUUCUACUGGAUCACUGUAACAUGAGGAGAUCAACACCUUCUCCAGUGUUAUCUACUUCUGAUAUUCUAGAAGAUUACUGUCUUCUGUCCUUGUUUGAAAUCUUGAGGAAUGACACUGAAUCAGAGCAAUACCUGAAGAGGAGCCCAGAUAGAAACACCUUUGUCAUUUCACAUCCAUUUGCACAGAACUUGUCUGUACCUGAGACCUAUGGUAUGGUUUCUUGUCAGACUUUGAGAUUGAUUUUCUGUUUUCUUCAGAGAAAAGUACAUCAAAAAGUGAGAAAAAGAUAUAAGGUUCCUAUAUAUUCCUCCUCACAGUCCAUGGUCAGAGACCUAGUAUUUCAAGAGGUGGAAGAAGUGGUACAGUCAGACAUUGAAGAAGAGAGUGCCCUAAUCCGAGAUUAACAAACAAGGUGUGCAAGUCCCUCUGGAACACUAAACCCGUGCUUUAUUACAAGCCAUAGUAACCAAAGUUCAUGGAGGAACCUUUCCUUGAGACAAAACAAGUUGUCUUUCAUGGAAAAGACCUGGUGAAGGAUGGCUACAUCUUGGGUUUUUCCUAAGACUACAACAGCUGACAAAGUCAUUACAGCAAAUUAUGGAUCCGGAACAACAUCAAAUCCUUCUAUAGCUCAGUCAAGAUUUCCAAUGCUUCUCCUGGAGAAUCAGGCCUUGGGACAAUUGACAAACCAGCAGUUACAUGUGGGGGCAACUGUCUCAGGGCCAGACAGACAUCACUUCUUUUUUUCCUUAAAGCAAGUAGACAUGUGCCUUGUUUGCAUUGCUUUUGCAACAUGGGUACUAAAGUCAACCAACCCACAAUCUACAAACAUGUGGAAAGCAGCUCUUCUGGCAAAUGUGAGCACAAUAUCAGCUAUCCAGUACUUGCAGCGAUACAUAAAAGGAGUAACUAAGGAUGAACCAUAAAAAUCUAGUAUUAUUUCGGAGGAUUUCUCACAAAGGGGCCAGUGUACAGAAAAGGGUCAAUUUUGCACAAAUUCACACCACUCUUUUGUAAAUACACAUUAGGUCGUAUUUCAUAUUUCCUAACAGUCUAAUAUUUUCAUGUUUAACAUAUUCAUGUUACAAAAUAGGUGUUCAAUCAAUAAAUAACUUAUCAAAGGACAAUUUUGUUAAAGAAAAGCAUACAAUGUAACAAUACAAUUUUUUUCCGUACAAAAAUUGUUUAGUUAGAAGACAUGUAUUGCUUUAGAUAUUAGGUUGAUAUGGACCAGAAAAGACAGCUGGUAGGUUAUGCGGGGGUUUUUUUUCAGGACCCAAGCUGUGCUAUACAUAUUUAUGUAAUUCACACAGAAAUUGUUUUUUGGUGUACAUAUAAAAUAACUUUUUCAGUGAAAAUCACUCUAGAUAUACCUAUUAAAUAAAAAUAAAAAAUAAAACAUCUUGCUACCAAAGCUUAAAAAAAAAGUUCAGAGAAGGAACAGAUUUUAGCACAUUUCAUAAAGAAUAUAGUUUGCACAUAAAAUAUACUUGGAAGUUAAGGAGGUAUCAGAAAGUGCCAUAAGAAGUAUGACUACUGAAUGUAAAAUAUUUAUAUUACGCGCUGGCUGUAAAGGAGAGACUGAUGUCAAUGUAAUAAGAGUAUUUAUGAAACAGCCUAAGAAAACGAGAAAAUGAAAAGAUCUCACACUUAAUGACUGUUGCCAUUGGUAAGACAAGUUAAUUAAUGUACUGAGGUGUAUGAAAAGUAAUUAUGGUGCAAGCCAUUUAUAAUCAUCAUAAUCAUCUAUCAAAAUGACAAUUUAGUUCUGAAAAAUUUCACCUACUUGCAACAAAAUAACACUAUGCAUGUAAAGACAUGUAUACAUACAAACAUGGAUACUAAAAAUGAGAAUACAUUUCACAUUAAAAUAUCCAUAUAGUUCAUAAAAUGCAAGUAUAAAUGUUGUUUAUUUGAAGAAAAUAAUGACUUUUUAGCAGUUUUGAAAAAAGAACCCAUCAAAGUUUAACAUAUGCAGUCCCAGAAAAAGUGUUGAACACUCAUGUCCCAUAUACAAAACAAUGACACACAAUUUCAUGUUUAAUAUUGAUAUUUUAACAAUUAAUAGUAGUGCCCAACAAUACCACUUGUAAAUCAUUAAACUGUCACAAAAUUACACUUUCUCUGUGUUUUAAGUUCAUUUCAGUUUAUUGUAAUUAUGCUGUGCUCUUUCCUAACCAGCCUGAUUCUGAAAAUGUUACCUCGUCACCACUUACCUAUACAGUAGCCAGGUUGUUAAAUUGGCUACCAUGUGCACAUGCUUGGAGGGGAGUUAACAUUUCAAAUUUAGCUGGAAGUGAGGAUAUCAUUAUAUAUGCCAUUAGGUGUUUUAUUGCUAAUUUUAUCUGAAAUGAUACCCUUGGAAGUCUACAGGUGUUGUAGAGAAAAUACCUUUUAAUAUAUGAACUCCCUCAUGAACAUGAAGCAACUUUUUGUGCAGAUCUGGACAAGCAAGAUCAACACUAUUAGGUAGGUGAUAAGGUAUGGUGGAGUUUACUGCUGUUGGGUUAUAUAUUGAUAAGUGCUCCGAGGUAUAUAUGAAAAGAGGCUGUCGAAGAAAAAAAAAAAAAAAAAAAAAAAAAGCAGGAUACAGCAUGUAAAGCAUGCACUUUUUGCACACAGGUCAUUUGAAGUUUUUGUAUCCAAA